GCCUGAGUGGCUCAGUCGGUUGAGCAUCUGCCUUCAGCUCAGGUCGUGAUCCCAAGGUCGUGGGAUCGAGUCCCAUGUGGGGCU
rnacentral:tRNA from 1 species